UUGAAAGUUUUCGUCUCUGUUCCUUUUUCCUUCUCAUCUUUCUCCGAAUCGGUUCUAGGGUUUUCGCUUUUAAUCGUUUAUUUCUCUGGAUCUUCACGUUCGAAGGAUUCUAGUGCAAUCGCACUAAAAUCUUCUCUCAAUUCGGUCUUCCAAUCUCGCAAUCUCAGGUAAUCGUUCUUCAGGGACUCGAAUUUGGAACACUAGGUUUAGCGAUUGUCGGAUACAGAAGUUCGACGAUGGCUCUGGUGUUGAAGCCAACCAGAUCGCGUGAACAGGACGAUUCGUCGUUCAAAUCGAACAAUCUCUGGGUCGGUAGCUUAUCCACCGAUACUACGGAGUCGGAUCUGGCCGAGUUGUUCGGGAGGUUCGGCGACGUCGACAGAAUCACGGCGUAUUCGUCUCGUUGCUUCGCUUUCAUCUACUUCAGGCGCGUAGAGGAGGCGGUAGCUGCGAAGGAGGCGCUUCAGGGCACCAGCUUGAACGGGAGCCAGAUUAAGAUCGAAUACGCUCGACCGGCAAAACCUUGUAAGAGUCUUUGGGUGGGUGGUAUCAGCUCUGCUGUCUCGAAAGAUGACCUGGAGAUGGAGUUCAGAAAAUUCGGAAAGAUUGAGGAUUUUAGGUUUCUUAGGGAGCGGAGGAUGGCUUUCGUCGAUUAUCAUGAGAUAGAAGAUGCUAUGCAGGCUGCAAAGAGCAUGAAUGGCAAGCGGAUAGGCGGUAGCUUUCUUCGUGUUGAUUUUCUCCGCUCACAGGCUCCAAGAAGAGAACAAUGGGCUGGCUCUUAUGACACCAGGGAUGGUCAUUUUUCAGGCAGGGAUGGCAAUCUGAGUGCUAAACAACCGUUUCCUCACUCUUUUGGAGAUGGCAAAGCAGACGGCCAACCAAGUAACAUUCUGUGGAUUGGUUACCCUCCUUCUGUUCAGAUAGAUGAACAAAUGCUACACAAUGCCAUGAUACUCUUUGGUGAGAUUGAGAGGAUUAAAAGUUUCCCGUCAAGGCAUUUUUCACUUGUAGAAUUUAGGAGUGCCGAGGAAGCUCGUCGUGCUAAGGAAGGAUUGCAAGGGAGAUUAUUUAAUGAUCCAAGAAUCACCAUUAUGUACUCAAACUGUGACCUGCCUCAUGGGCAAGAUAAUACCAGAUUUUAUUCUGGGGUCAAACGGUCAAGGCCAGAAAUGUUCAUGAAUGACCCUCCAUUCACAUCUUCGCCAACAGAUACUUAUGGUCCUGGUAAUGCCGUAAUGGGUUCUAGGGCACCACAUUCUAGUGGAAUUCCUGGGUCUAUGAGGCUAUUACGAGGUAGCAUGGAACGACAACAAGCUGAUACAGAAUAUAGCGAUGCGGAUGGUAGGGAGUCUACUUGGAGAAGACCGUCUCCCCGUGGUGAUGGAAUACUCCCAUCUCCUGCUCAAGGCAUGAGGCUAAAACCUGGCUCUUGGGAAGGAUAUGAUCCUGCUCAGUUGGAUAGAGAAACCAAGCGGACCAGGAGAGAUGGCUCGGUGGACGCAUAUCCUCCGGUGGGUAUGGAGGAUCGUGUAACGGGUUUAGACAGGUCUUAUGGGCUGGGUCCUGUUGUUGCAAGACCAGGUCGUGGCUUUCCCAAUGCUGAUCACAUUUGGAGAGGAACUAUUGCUAAAGGCGGAACUCCCAUUUGUCAUGCUCGUUGUGUACCCAUCGGAAAGGGGAUUGAGAUUGAACUCCCUGAGGUAGUCAAUUGUUCAGCAAGAACUGGGUUGGAUAUGCUCGCCAAACACUACGCCGAGGCAAUUGGAUUUGACACCGUUUUCUUCUUACCAGACAGUGAAGACGAUUUUGCCUCUUACACUGAGUUUCUGCAUUACCUUGGUUCAAAGAAUCGAGCUGGUGUUGCCAAAUUAGAUGAUGGAACCACUUUAUUCUUGGUGCCGCCAUCUGAUUUCUUGACAACGGUACUCAAAGUUUCAGGUCCUGAACGGCUCUAUGGUAUAGUUCUCAAGUUGCCUCCUCCCCCUAUUCCCGCUGCAGCAUCCUAUAGACCAGAAUCUCAGUCCUUUCCUCCUCCGUCUUAUGUGGAUCGACCACUGGAUUCACCUGCCAACCUCAGUCAGGGUCUAUAUCGUGGUAGGGAAGAUCAAGCCCCAACAUUGGAUUACCACAGGGGCACACAGGAAGAGUUGAAGCCUCCAUCAAAACCAUUGAUUGCCCCUACCAGUGAGCCUGUUUGGGGUCAAUCUAGCCCUAAACCUGGGAUUCACUUCACGCCAGAGCUUAUAGCCACUCUGGUAAACUUGCUCCCGGCAACUUCUCAACCUGUUGCCCCCGACACUCACCAACCUAUGUCGAGCACUUCAACCCUCGUUUCUACAACACCUCAAUCCAUUGGACUGGCAAAUGUAGGAACUCCAUUGCAGGAUCAACAGACAAUCACUGAACCCACGAGUCAAUUCUUCCAACUAUUUGGGAAUCAGUACAAUCCAACUGCUCAACUACCCCCUCCUCCACCUCCUGUGACAACCACACCCAGAUACUCGGGCGGAAUGAUUCAUGGUGGCAUGCAAUUCCAAGCCCCUCCUGUAAGCAUGCCUCAGCAGACUCUGUUACCGAGUCUGCCCGCAAAUUAUUAUCCGAUGUAUCCUCAGAAUUCACAUUAUGCCGUUUCUCAGCCCACCACACAACAAUAUCAGCCGGAAGCUCCCAUGCCUAACCAAAACUGUGGAGCAGUUCCUGGAGCUGGAACUCCUGAAUUGCACGGGUAUCCGGCUUAUCAGCAAGCUAGCUAUCCUGGUGUAACAACUAGUCAGGCACAUACUGCUAAUUCUUCCCACCUUCAAGCUGCCAUACCAUCAUCAGCCAAUAAGGCAAACGUAGAGCUUCCAGGCCAGGAACAGCAGCUCCGGCCUGUGCUUCCUGGAACUGAUGAUAAGGUUGCAGCCGAUGGAGAUGCCGAUAAAAAUCAGCGAUAUCAAUCAACGUUACAGUUUGCGGCCAAUCUUCUUCUCCAGAUACAGCAGAAGCAGCAGCAGUAAAGGCAAUCAGAUGCUCCGUCUGGACAAUGGACUUGAGACUAAGCUUCAGUUGUCCUCGUAGGUUUGGUAGUUUGGAACAAGUACCUUCGCUUCUAUACGACCAGUCCAAAGGCGACAUAUGACUUAACACAACGGAACGGGAAUGGCCUCACUCUUCACCUUCGAUUGAUUUUUUUUUUUUUUUGGAUUUUUUGUGUUCUUGUGGCAUUGUAGUUUGUACAGAUGAUGUCCACUGGACCCUUUGGUGUAAUGGAAAAGUCUUCUCUCUCUCUCUUUUUUUUUUA